CAGCAGUGGGGAAUAUUGCACAAUGGGCGCAAGCCUGAUGCAGCCAUGCCGCGUGUAUGAAGAAGGCCUUCGGGUUGUAAAGUACUUUCAGCGGGGAGGAAGGCGACAGGGUUAAUAACCCUGUCGAUUGACGUUACCCGCAGAAGAAGCACCGGCUAACUCCGUGCCAGCAGCCGCGGUAAUACGGAGGGUGCAAGCGUUAAUCGGAAUUACUGGGCGUAAAGCGCACGCAGGCGGUCUGUCAAGUCGGAUGUGAAAUCCCCGGGCUCAACCUGGGAACUGCAUUCGAAACUGGCAGGCUAGAGUCUUGUAGAGGGGGGUAGAAUUCCAGGUGUAGCGGUGAAAUGCGUAGAGAUCUGGAGGAAUACCGGUGGCGAAGGCGGCCCCCUGGACAAAGACUGACGCUCAGGUGCGAAAGC
rnacentral:rRNA from 1 species